rnacentral:rRNA from 1 species
AUACGGAGGGUGCAAGCGUUGUUCGGAAUUACUGGGCGUAAAGCGCGUGCAGGCGGUAAGGUAAGUCAGAUGUGAAAGCCCCGGGCUCAACCCGGGAAGUGCAUUUGAUACUGCCUUUCUUGAGUAUGGGAGAGGAGAGUGGAAUUCCCAGUGUAGAGGUGAAAUUCGUAGAUAUUGGGAGGAACACCCGUGGCGAAGGCAACUCUCUGGACCAAUACUGACGCUGAGACGCGAAAGCGUGGGGAGCGAACAGGAUUAGAAACCCCGGUAGUCC